rnacentral:rRNA from 1 species
AUUGAACGCUGGCGGCAUGCUUUACACAUGCAAGUCGAACGGCAGCGGGGAGGAGCUUGCUUCUCUGCCGGCGAGUGGCGAACGGGUGAGUAAUACAUCGGAACGUGUCGAGAAGAGGGUGAUAACCACCCGAAAGGGUGGCUAAUACCUCAUAAAUUCUGAGGAAGAAAGCUGGGGACCUAGGAAUAGGCCUAGCGCUUUUUGAGCGGCCGAUGUCGGAUUAGCUAGUUGGUGAGGUAAAGGCUCACCAAGGCGAAGAUCUGUAGCGGGUCUGAGAGGCUGAUACGCCACACUGGGACUGAGACACGGACCAGACUCCUAAGGGAGGCAGCAGUGGGGAAUUUUGGACAAUGGGGGCAAACAUGAUACAGUCAUGCCGAGUGUAUGAAGAAGGCCUUAGGGUUGUAAAGUCCUUUUGUUAGGGAAGAAAAGCCAGCUGUGAAUAAUGGCUGAUACUGACGGUACCUAAAGAAUAAGCACCGGCUAACUACGUG